AUUGAACGCUGGCGGCAGGCCUAACACAUGCAAGUCGAGCGGAUGAAGGGAGCUUGCUCCUGGAUUCAGCGGCGGACGGGUGAGUAAUGCCUGGGAAUCUGCCUGGUAGUGGGGGAUAACGUCCGGAAACGGGCGCUAAUACCGCAUACGUCCUGAGGGAGAAAGUGGGGGAUCUUCGGACCUCACGCUAUCAGAUGAGCCUAGGUCGGAUUAGCUAGUUGGUGGGGUAAAGGCCUACCAAGGCGACGAUCCGUAACUGGUCUGAGAGGAUGAUCAGUCACACUGGAACUGAGACACGGUCCAGACUCCUACGGGAGGCAGCAGUGGGGAAUAUUGGACAAUGGGCGAAAGCCUGAUCCAGCCAUGCCGCGUGUGUGAAGAAGGUCUUCGGAUUGUAAAGCACUUUAAGUUGGGAGGAAGGGCAGUAAGUUAAUACCUUGCUGUUUUGACGUUACCAACAGAAUAAGCACCGGCUGACUUCGUG
rnacentral:rRNA from 1 species